rnacentral:lncRNA from 1 species
UCCUCUGGGGCAAAGGAACCGACCUUUAUUAAAAACAAGGUGAGGAUGGGCCAUAGAGCCCACUCUUGUUUUCUCCUCAAAGGGGUUUCUUUUGCCCAAAGCUCCUUCUCCCAAUCUCUCUUUACCCCAAAAUUCCCAGAGAGAGUGUCUUUCCUCCAAACUCCUUUUCCUCUGAGUUCUGAGAGUAGGGUGAUUUCCCCGGAGGGUAGUAACUAAAAGGUUCUCAUAGAGUGUGUCUUCACCCAUCAGCAUCUCAUCCACAGAAUAUUCUGACAUUAGAUGUGCUUCCCCUGAGAGUAAGCCCGUAGUAAGUGAAAGGUUCUCAGAAAGAUUAUCUCCUCCAUCCACACGUGUCUUUUCCUCAGAAUCUUCAGAGAUUAGAAGUGCUUUAAGAAAGAAGAAGCUCUAGAAAUAGGAAUGUUUCAAAAAAGAUAAUCUUCUACCACAAGUCUUUUCCUCUGAAUCUUCAGAGAUUAGAAGUGCUUUAAGAAAGAAGAAGCUCUAGAAAUAGGAAUGUUUCAAGAAAGAUUAUCUCCUACCACAAGUCUUUUCCUCUGAAUAUUCAGAGAUUAGUAGUGCUUUGAAACAGAAGAAGCUGCAGAAACAGGAAUAUUUCAAGAAUGAUUAUCUCCUACCACAAGUUUCUUUUCCUCUGAAUAUUCAGAGAUUAGUAGUGCUUUGAAACAGAAGAAGCUGCAGAAACAGGAAUAUUUCAAGAAUGAUUAUCUCCUACCACAAGUUUCUUUUCCUCUGAAUAUUCAGAGAUUAGUAGUGCUUUGAAACAGAAGAAGCUGCAGAAACAGGAAUAUUUCAAGAAUGAUUAUCUCCACCACAAGUGUCUUUUCCUCUCCAGAUUAUAUAGUUGUGUUGAUUUUUUCAUUCCUAAAACACAAAAUACCAUUCGUCACAUCAGGAAGCAGAAGGAGAGGGAGGGAUACAUGGGAUACUGUGAUGUAAGAAACGGAAAACAGCCUUGCAUAUCUUUAAAUGAGGUGAAGAAUCUAAAAGGUAUUAAUGAAAAAGUGGGGAGGAGGAACAAAAAGGAUUGUUCAUGCAGCGGGAUUCCUUCCACCUCUGCAGCUUCAGCAUCUGGGCUUGGCUUGAGACCUCCAGCACUAAGAGGGGAGCCUUUUGGUGGCUUUGCCCACUUUUCCUGCUGUCUGGCAUCUGCUUGUGUGUCUCCUGUCCAUCCACGCUCAGGUGUCAUGUGUCUUUCCUCAGUCCACAUGUUACCUGUCCUCUCCUUUGUGGGGCGGUGGCUGGCUACACCUGCCUGGUCCCAAGACUUCUCUUGCUUCUCAGUACCCAGCGUCCAUGUGUGCUCGAAUCAUCUCCUGGCCCUCUCCCUUCCCAGACUCAUGACUCCCUUCCUGUCUCCUUUUCUCCCUUGAAGCCAAGUCUGGGGUAAAUUCACUUUACUUUAAAAUUGCUCGAUAAAAGGUUUUCCCAACAGUCCACUUACAGAAAGAGAGAACUAUCUAUAGUUGGUAAAAAAAAAAAUAGAUGGCAUAAAUCCAAAGCAGUUUGGCAGAAUUUUGAUAGAAGAUCAAUACUUCAUACCACAGAGUAAAUUAAACUAUAAGAGAAUACAUGGUUUAGCUAGGAUAAAUGAAAGAAUAAAGUGAUACCUGAGGAAAAUUAUACUUGUAAUCACUAAUAAAUUUGCUUAAACCUAACCAUUAAUGUAUUAUUCAGUCAAAACUGUGGAUUUACUCCUCCAAUGUGCUGGGCACAUACAAAGACAGAAGGGUUAAGUAACAAACAACAAGCACAUGCACAUCAUACUACUAGGUUCUGGAGAUGUAAACACUAUUAAAGACACAGUCCCUAACAAGACAAGCUUAGGUUCUAAUAAGAAAGAAAAUGUAUAAAU